GACGAACGCUGGCGGCGUGCCUAAUACAUGCAAGUCGAACGCAGUGGGGACGGGUGCGUAACACCUGGGUAACCUCCCAUCAGAGGGGAUAACACUUGGAAACAGGUGCUAACCUGAUACUGAUGGAUGGACCCGCGGUGCAUUAGCUAGUUGGUGAGGUAACGGCUCACCAAGGCCACGAUGCAUAGCCGAGCUGAGAGGGUGAUCGGCCACACGGGAACUGAGACACGGCCCAGACUCCUACGGGAGGCAGCAGUAGGGAAUCUUCGACAAUGGACGAAAGUCUGACCGAGCAACGCCGCGUGAGUGAAGAAGGUUUUCGGAUCGUAAAGCUCUGUUGUUGGAGAAGCGGUAUCUAACCAGAAAGCCACGGCUAACUACGUGCCAGCAGCCGCGGUAAUUC
rnacentral:rRNA from 1 species